rnacentral:rRNA from 1 species
UGAAUACGAGACGCUAAGGCGUCGAAGUAGUGUAUGUCAUACUUCCAAGAAAAGCUUGCACUGUCAUAGAUAAAAAACGCCUGUACCAUAACCGACACAGGUGGGUAGGUAGAGUAUACUAAGGGGCGCGAGAUAACUCUCUCUAAGGAACUCGGCAAAAUAACUCCGUAACUUCGGGAGAAGGAGUGCCUUAUUCUUAAGGUUGCAAUAACAAGAUCCAAGCAACUGUUUAUCAAAAACACAGGUCUCCGCUAAGUCGUAAGACGAUGUAUGGGGGCUGACGCCUGCCCAGUGCCAGAAGGUUAAAGAAGCUGGUUAGCAUUUGCGAAGCUAGUAACUGAAGCCCUGGUGAACGGCGGCCGUAACAAUAACGGUCCUAAGGUAGCGAAAUUCCUUGUCGGGUAAGUUCCGACCCGCACGAAAGGCGUAAUGAUUUGGAUACUGUCUCGGAGAGGGGCUCGGUGAAAUAGACUUGUCUGUGAAGAUGCGGACUACCUGCACCAGGACAGAAAGACCCUAUGAAGCUUUACUGUAACUUGAAAUUGAAAUUGGACUUUAUUCGCGCAGUAUAGGUGGGAGGCGUUGAUUAUAAUCUUGCGGGAUUAUUGGAGCCAUUAGUGAGAUACCACUCUUGUAAUGUUAGAUUUCUAACUUUGAAUCAUUAUCUGGUCAAAGAACAGUUUCAGGCGGGCAGUUUGACUGGGGCGGUCGCCUCCUAAACGGUAACGGAGGCGUACAAAGGUUUCCUCUGAACGGUUAGAAAUCGUAUCUAGAGUGUAAAGGCAUAAGGAAGCUUGACUGUGAGACCUACAAGUCGAGCAGGGACGAAAGUCGGUCUUAGUGAUCUGACGGUACUGAGUGGAAAGGCCGUCACUCAACGGAUAAAAGUUACUCUAGGAUAACAGGCUGAUCUCCCCCAAGAGUUCACAUCGACGGGGAGGUUUGGCACCUGAUGUCGGCUCAUCGCAUCCUGGGGCGGUAGUACGUCCCAAGGGUUGGGCUGUUCGCCCAUGAAAGCGGUACGCGAGCUGGGUUCAGAACGUCGUGAGACAGUUCGGUCCAUAUCCGGUGUAGGCGUUAGAAUAUUGAGAGGAGCCUUCUUUAGUACGAGAGGACCGAGAAGGACAUACCUCUGGUGUACCAGUUAUCGUGCCAACGGUAAACGCUGGGUAGCUAUGUAUGGAGUGGAUAACCGCUGAAAGCAUCUAAGUGGGAAGCCCACCUCAAGAUAAGUAUUCUCA